rnacentral:rRNA from 1 species
GCGUCAUAGAGGGUGAGAAUCCCGUCUUUGGCACGGAAACCCCAGGGCUUUUGUGAUGCGCUCUCGAAGAGUCGAGUUGUUUGGGAAUGCAGCUCAAAAUGGGUGGUGAACUCCAUCUAAAGCUAAAUAUUGGCGAGAGACCGAUAGCGAACAAGUACCGUGAGGGAAAGAUGAAAAGCACUUUGGAAAGAGAGUGAAACAGUACGUGAAAUUGUUGAAAGGGAAACGCUUGAAGUCAGUCGCGUCGACCGAGACUCAGCCUUGCCUUGGCUUGGUGUACUUCUCGGCCCGACGGGUCAGCAUCAAUUUUGCCCCUCGGAUAAUGGCAGGGGAAAGGUGGCACCUUUACGGUGUGUUAUAGUCUCUUGUCGCAUGCAAGGGUUGGGAUUGAGGAACUCAGCACGCACCUUUGGGUGUCGGGGCUUUGCCCACGAUACGUGCUUAGGAUGUUGGCGUAAUGGCUUUAAACGACCCGUCUUGAAACACGGACCAAGGAGUCUAACAUGCCUGCGAGUGUUCGGGUGGAAAACUCGUGCGCGCAAUGAAAGUGAAAGUUGGGACCUCUGUCGUGGAGGGCACCGACGCCCGGACCAGACCUUCUGUGACGGCUCUGCGGUAAAGCAUGUAUGUUAGGACCCGAAAGAUGGUGAACUAUGCCUGAAUAGGGUGAAGCCAGAGGAAACUCUGGUGGAGGCUCGUAGCGAUUCUGACGUGCAAAUCGAUCGUCAAAUUUGGGUAUAGGGGCGAAAGACUAAUCGAACCAUCUAGUAGCUGGUUCCUGCC